rnacentral:rRNA from 1 species
GAUGAACGCUGGCGGCGUGCCUAAUACAUGCAAGUCGAGCGAACGGACGAGAAGCUUGCUUCUCUGAUGUUAGCGGCGGACGGGUGAGUAACACGUGGAUAACCUACCUAUAAGACUGGGAUAACUUCGGGAAACCGGAGCUAAUACCGGAUAAUAUUUUGAACCGCAUGGUUCAAAGGUGAAAGACGGUCUUGCUGUCACUUAUAGAUGGAUCCGCGCUGCAUUAGCUAGUUGGUAAGGUAACGGCUUACCAAGGCAACGAUGCAUAGCCGACCUGAGAGGGUGAUCGGCCACACUGGAACUGAGACACGGUCCAGACUCCUACGGGAGGCAGCAGUAGGGAAUCUUCCGCAAUGGGCGAAAGCCUGACGGAGCAACGCCGCGUGAGUGAUGAAGGUCUUCGGAUCGUAAAACUCUGUUAUUAGGGAAGAACAUAUGUGUAAGUAACUGUGCACAUCUUGACGGUACCUAAUCAGAAAGCCACGGCUAACUACGUGCCAGCAGCCGCGGUAAUACGUAGGUGGCAAGCGUUAUCCGGAAUUAUUGGGCGUAAAGCGCGCGUAGGCGGUUUUUUAAGUCUGAUGUGAAAGCCCACGGCUCAACCGUGGAGGGUCAUUGGAAACUGGAAAACUUGAGUGCAGAAGAGGAAAGUGGAAUUCCAUGUGUAGCGGUGAAAUGCGCAGAGAUAUGGAGGAACACCAGUGGCGAAGGCGACUUUCUGGUCUGUAACUGACGCUGAUGUGCGAAAGCGUGGGGAUCAAACAGGAUUAGAUACCCUGGUAGUCCACGCCGUAAACGAUGAGUGCUAAGUGUUAGGGGGUUUCCGCCCCUUAGUGCUGCAGCUAACGCAUUAAGCACUCCGCCUGGGGAGUACGACCGCAAGGUUGAAACUCAAAGGAAUUGACGGGGACCCGCACAAGCGGUGGAGCAUGUGGUUUAAUUCGAAGCAACGCGAAGAACCUUACCAAAUCUUGACAUCCUUUGACAACUCUAGAGAUAGAGCUUUCCCCUUCGGGGGACAAAGUGACAGGUGGUGCAUGGUUGUCGUCAGCUCGUGUCGUGAGAUGUUGGGUUAAGUCCCGCAACGAGCGCAACCCUUAAGCUUAGUUGCCAUCAUUAAGUUGGGCACUCUAAGUUGACUGCCGGUGACAAACCGGAGGAAGGUGGGGAUGACGUCAAAUCAUCAUGCCCCUUAUGAUUUGGGCUACACACGUGCUACAAUGGACAAUACAAAGGGCAGCGAAACCGCGAGGUCAAGCAAAUCCCAUAAAGUUGUUCUCAGUUCGGAUUGUAGUCUGCAACUCGACUACAUGAAGCUGGAAUCGCUAGUAAUCGUAGAUCAGCAUGCUACGGUGAAUACGUUCCCGGGUCU